rnacentral:lncRNA from 10 species
UGACCCAUAACUGCAAGCCGAGUGGACAGAUGGAGACAAUGACAUCAUCCACAACAAUAGCAAUAACAAAAACCUUUUGUUUCUACUCUGGGCCACCCUAGGUGUCAUGCAAGCAUUUUGUAUGCGGAGCUUCAUUGAAAUCUCACAUCAACCUGAUAGGAAGAUAUCAUCACGCCUACUUUAUCGACAGGAAAACUAAAAUCUCCAAGAAGGGAAGUGACUUGACCAAGGGAACCGAUUGGUAAGUGGCAGUGCAAGAAUUUGAGCCCGGGUCUGUCUGAAUCCCAGCACUGGGCCAGAAUGGCAAGACGACGCUGGAGUUACGGGCUUGGUUUUAUUACUGUCGAGAUGAGAUGGACUGGAGAGAGCUCAUACAGCUUUUAUAGGAACUAUUUUAUUUAUAAGAAUUUUCCUAAUGUCAGAUGGAUGUGACAUGCCUGGUUUCUUUCUGCCCG